AGCGCAGGGAACGGGUAUGCAGUCAAAGAAAAACGGCGGCCGCAUCCUCUCACGUGUGAAGUAAUGGUCUCCCUCGUCUCUACACACACACGCACAAACCACGGCUCUCCCCCUUUCCUCUCUAGAUGGCGUCGGCUGGGGCCCCUGCUGCUCCGACAUCGCGUCUCUGCGCCGAGCUGGACGCGCUCGAAACAACGUCAUUGCAGCGCCUCCCCAUCGACGAUGCACGUCGUGUGCUUUCUCGGCUCGACGACGUGGACGCGCAACUCUGCCGUAGCGCCGGUGUAGCAGUCCUCAUCUCAGACAGCAGUGAAGGUGCGGUUCCCUGCACUGCCGAGAGAGGUACCAGUCCCUCUGCCCAUGAUUCCUCUAUGGGGACACUAAAGCAACUGCGCUCGACCUUCGCUGCUCAGCUGACCAUCUCCCAGCAAGAUGCACUGAUGCGUGUAUUGUACGCGUGCAUGGCAUCUUGCGCCUCUGGCGUCACGGCACCCACAUCGGAAGCAUCUUGUUGGGCACCGAUUGGAGCACACAAUGCUCACGCGCCUCUCUCACCAGCGGGUGUGCGCCGACUGUACGAGUGGCACGCGGCCCUGCACGAUGCGGCUGGCGAUGGCGCGGUGGUGCGUGCCUUGAUGAGCAGGUGACCGGGCCCUCCCACACACGCACAAAUAUACAUGUGCAUGUAUGCGUGCGUGCGUCGGUGUCCGGGCUGCCACGGUUCUCCUGUGGUUGGGUGCUGCGCCUGCUGUCGGGCAUCUUGUCUCAGCGAUGUCGGCCAAUGCGACUCGAAAACGAUGCGUGAGGGCACGGCAACCGCAAGAUGGCGGCAGGGCGCGUCGACGUGCUGCCUCGAACCCCUCUACUACUGCUACUGCCGACAGCACGGAAACGAGCCACCGCGUCGCUCACACGCACCGGCGUGGGUGACGCCCGGCUGCUCACCGUGCCUGCGCUUUCUAAUUUCUUUUUGCUUUGCGUUCGAGGGGACGAAACCCUUCCUCACGUCAUCACCCCAUCAUCCCACCCCUUCCCCGGCAUCGCUGCGGCUCUGCUCUCGACAGCUCGCGCGCACGCGUACGCACGAUUGCGUGUUGAAGGAUGCCGCACAGAAGCGCAUGCGCUCACUCCACUACGCACACGUGCAGGAAGCGGCACCGUCUCUCUCCCUCUUCCCUCCAUCGACACCCUGCGAUACUGUUUCGUCUGUUCUCUGCGCCUCACUUUCUUCUGAAGCCCUGAUGGGCGGAGGAGGAGGCGGGGCGGGAGCCCAGGCAGCCCUCCCAUGUCCCUGCCACGUGCCGAGCCGCUUCUGGUGGUGACGGGGCCAGGCGCCAACACUGCUGAAAACGACUGAGCGAUGUGCCGCUGGUGGUGUCGGCGGUCAGGUCCUGGACGGCGCUGCGUCGGAGCGACCUGCGACCGUGUGAGCGCGCUUGUGCCAUCCAUGCGAUCAGGCCGAGUGCCAGCGUGUCUCGUCCGGCCCCGACACUGCCUGCUGGUGUGGGGAACGCGAACCCCCCCCGACAGCAGCACCAGGUGCUGACCAGCGUGAUGGGAGCGGCUGCGAGGCGACCUGCGAGACGGUGGCGGGCGGAGAGGUUGAGGCAGGGGCCGCUCACAGAUGGCCGCGUCAGCGCAUGUGGUGCAACGCUUGUGUGCCGCUGCUUGGCACCGCGCGGACGGGGUCUUGCGUGAGGGCUUUGGCUCGUGCUGCGCGGUGGAGCCGUGGACACGCGUGGAUGCAGAACAGAAAUCGAAUCGUGCUUGCGCCUCUCGUCGUCAUGCAUGCACGGAGAAGUCGGCAGCUUUCAGCUUCCCCUCACUUGACCCCUCCCCCUCUCUCUUUCUGCUGCAG
rnacentral:misc_RNA from 1 species